AGGGUUUGAUCAUGGCUCAGGAUGAACGCUGGCGGCGUGCCUAACACAUGCAAGUCGAGCGAGAAAUUCCGGUCGGAAGCUUCGGCCGAAGAACGGAACGGAAAGCGGCGGACGGGUGAGUAACGCGUAGGUAACCUGCCCCAUACAGAGGGAUAGCCACUGGAAACGGUGAUUAAUACCUCAUAAUACGUUUUCUUCGCAUGAAGGAAAGGUCAAAGAUUUAUCGGUAUGGGAUGGACCUGCGUCUGAUUAGCUGGUUGGUGGGGUAACGGCCUACCAAGGCGACGAUCAGUAGCCGACCUGAGAGGGUGAUCGGCCACAUUGGAACUGAGACACGGUCCAA
rnacentral:rRNA from 1 species